UCACGAUGGAGGAUGUGUAACAGCCACCAUACUGAUAGACUUGCUCUGUCUUACGGCUGUGGAAAGUCUGAGAGCGCUAAUUGUUUUCUUGGCGGAACAUGCGGUGAACGCAUUGCUUGGAACCAGUAACGAGCCCAUAUAAUGGCAAGCCCUGCGAAGACCCAUUUGGGAUGGAACGGCUAAGCACGCUGCGUUUGUGAGUGAGAUACAUGUCGCCGGAUUCGUCCGGAAACUCGAUUCAGAUUACUCCUGUUCGUGA
rnacentral:RNase_P_RNA from 1 species